UACAGAGGGUGCAAGCGUUGUUCGAAAUUAUUGGGCGUAAAGGGCGCGUAGGCGGUGCGGUAAGUCCGCAGUGAAAUCUCUGGGCUCAACUCAGAGUCUGCUGUGGAAACUGCCGUGCUUGAGUGUGGGAGAGGUGAGUGGAAUUCCCGGUGUAGCGGUGAAAUGCGUAGAUAUCAGGAGGAACACCUGUAGCGAAAGCGGCUCACUGGACCAUAACUGACGCUGAUGCACGAAAGCUAGGGGAGCAAACAGG
rnacentral:rRNA from 1 species